rnacentral:rRNA from 1 species
AGCGGCGAGUGAAGCGGCAAAAGCUCAAAUUUGAAAUCUGGCACCUUCGGUGUCCGAGUUGUAAUUUGAAGAUUGUAACCUUGGGGUUGGCUCUUGUCUAUGUUUCUUGGAACAGGACGUCACAGAGGGUGAGAAUCCCGUGCGAUGAGAUGCCCAAUCCUAUGUAAGGUGCUUUCGAAGAGUCGAGUUGUUUGGGAAUGCAGCUCUAAGUGGGUGGUAAAUUCCAUCUAAAGCUAAAUAUUGGCGAGAGACCGAUAGCGAACAAGUACAGUGAUGGAAAGAUGAAAAGAACUUUGAAAAGAGAGUGAAAAAGUACGUGAAAUUGUUGAAAGGGAAGGGUUUGAGAUCAGACUCGAUAUUUUGUGA